CCCGCCACUAUCCCAGUCUGUCCCGUGACGCGGUCUAGUCCAGUGGAGGCUAACAGUAUCCCAGCUUUAGGAAACAGGGCUGCCCACAUGAAUGGGUGACUCUGUGCCGAAAAGUCUGGAACAUGA
ensembl:snoRNA